GGAUGAACGCUGGCGGCGUGCUUAACACAUGCAAGUCGAACGGUGAAGCAGAGCUUGCUCUGUGGAUCAGUGGCGAACGGGUGAGUAACACGUGAGCAACCUGCCCCGGACUCUGGGAUAAGCGCUGGAAACGGCGUCUAAUACUGGAUACGAGCAGCGGAGGCAUCUCCAGCUGCUGGAAAGAUUUUUUGGUCUGGGAUGGGCUCGCGGCCUAUCAGCUUGUUGGUGAGGUAAUGGCUCACCAAGGCGUCGACGGGUAGCCGGCCUGAGAGGGUGACCGGCCACACUGGGACUGAGACACGGCCCAGACUCCUACGGGAGGCAGCAGUGGGGAAUAUUGCACAAUGGGCGGAAGCCUGAUGCAGCAACGCCGCGUGAGGGACGACGGCCUUCGGGUUGUAAACCUCUUUUAGCAAGGAAGAAGCGAAAGUGACGGUACUUGCAGAAAAAGCGCCGGCUAACUACGU
rnacentral:rRNA from 1 species